CAUAAAUCCAGGAAAUUCACUUGACUAUGGUGCCCGUGAAAAUUUGCCAACCAUUCAGAACAGUUUGCAAUGCACUGUUGCCAUCGGUUUCGACUCCAUUAUUGGUUUCCUUCUGAAUAACUAUGGGACACAAGCAGCUCUGGUGUUUUUCACAUACAGCUCUGAUACAUUGGUGUGUGAUGUUCAGGUUGGUGGAACCACAGUCAAA